rnacentral:rRNA from 1 species
UACGGAGGGAGCUAGCGUUGUUCGGAAUUACUGGGCGUAAAGCGCACGUAGGCGGCUCAGCAAGUCAGGGGUGAAAUCCCGGGGCUCAACCCCGGAACUGCCCUUGAAACUGCUAAGCUAGAAUCCUGGAGAGGCGAGUGGAAUUCCGAGUGUAGAGGUGAAAUUCGUAGAUAUUCGGAAGAACACCAGUGGCGAAGGACGACUCGCUGGACAGGUAUUGACGCUGAGGUGCGAAAGCGUGGGGAG